GUUCCAUCUGGGAACACUUCAGUUUAUGAGAACAAAUGUAAGCAGCUCUAUGGCUUUGAAGGGUAAAGGUUCCGCAUCUUCUGUCCCAGGGCAGCCAUCCAGCCUAGAACAAGCUGCAAUUCAAGCACAGUUGAGAAGCCUACUCUUCUCCUACGAACACCUGUGACAGAUGACAGCCAUAGAUCUAUUCUUUGACUGUGGUAUUCAUCUAUUCUUAAGACUCCUCUCUGUAUUUUCAGUUUUUUCUCAUUUAUUAAGUGGACACUGUACUAAUUUUUCUACCUAACUCUCCAGCAGUAUCUUUGACUUUGACUGCUCUCUCUCUAGUCAAAUCUUUGCUAUGGUUUCUCUAUCCAGGUUAAGCUUUUCCACUUUCAGUGGCUGUGGUUUUACAAUAACUUUGACAUAAAAUUCCAUUUUUCCACACUGAGGAAAUAAUCUAAAAGAAAGAAUAAUAUAGGGCUGGCACCGCGGCUCACUAGGCUAAUCCUCCACCUUGUGGCGCCGGCACACUGGGUUCUAGUCCCGGUCGGGGCCCCAGAUUCUGUCCCGGUUGCCCCUCUUCCAGGCCAGCUCUCUGCUAUGGCCAGGGAGUGCAGUGGAGGAUGGCCCAAGUGCUUGGGCCCUGCACCCCAUGGGAGACCAGGAGAAGCACCUGGCUCCUGCCUUCGGAUAGGCGUGGCGCGCUGGCAGCAGCGCGCCAGCCGCGACGGCCAUUGGAGGGUGAACCAAUGGCAAAGGAAGACCUUUCUCCCUGUCUCUCUCUCUCACUGUCCACUCAGCCUGUCAAAAAAAAAAAGAAGAAGAAGAAGAAGAAUAUCUGCACCAGAGAACAUUCAUUAGAACAUCAUCCAUCAUGGGAAUGUGGUGUCUCACAAUAGGAGAUAAAUUAAUACCCAUCCGAUUUAUUUAUGCAGCUCUAAAAGUGGCAUAUUUGCAAAGAAAACUAGGAGGAAUAAGAUAAAGGUGAUACCAAUUAUAUUUCUGCAAUAAUCUAGAUAUUUCAAAAUGAUAUAGUUAUGUAGACAAGGAUUUUAAGAGAACCGUCAAAAAUAAAUUUUUAAAAGUGAAAUUCUGGGGUUGUUUUUGAGCUCCUAUUAUGUGUGUGUGUGUGCGUGUGUGUGUGUGUGUGUGUUUUUCUCAUAAAAGCUCCAUGUGGGAUGUGUUGUCAUUGUUGUCGUCUGCAUGUAACAGAAGAGGAAGAGAGCUGGGAAUUGGCCACCAACAGUUCUCGUGUAUUAGAGUAGCUGUGGAUUUUCUUGCUUUUAUUGUGUUUUCUAUUAAUGGUAUUGAAUAUUUUUAUGCAAGUUUUGUUUCAAUGUUUUCUAGAAAGAAGAAGAGAAUGAUGAGCUUCAUCUUAUAUUAUAUAACAGAAUCAGUUCAUUUUUAAAUUCUGCAGUUAGAAAUGUAAAUUUCAGAAUGAGGCAGGCUCCUCGUCCCCUCCACCAUGUCCCAGGGUUCUCAGAGGGAGAGAUCUAGGCACCAUCUUGCCUUGUCUUUUCCCAUAAUCAUUCACAACAGUGGCUGAGAAUCUCUGUUGAUCAUGAACUGCAUAAAAUAACUCCACUUGAGCUGUCUCUUGGUCUGCAACUGUGCCACGAUUGGGUUGUAAAAUGCAGGAGGAAGGAGCCCUGCAACUCUCUCGAGCUUGGUUGGCUUCAGCCCCUUUAAGACUGCUGAUGUGAGCUAGCUCAGCGCGACUCGGAGAGAAGACUUGAAGACUCACUUAAAUGAUUGACCUAUUUCUGGGCUCUCUGUUGCUGCAAAUUACAAGAAUAUACUGUGUGCAUUUUCAGUUCUUUCCUUCCUUCCUGUGAUGCUACGAAUGGUUUUGAUUUUUAUUCUUCAUGGUUUUGGGCAAGAUGGAACACAGUUUGGAAGUCAGCCAUCACCCAGUUUGAUGAGUUGUUGAUUCCUCAUGAGGAUCUCCAGAACGUCAUACAAGCAGAAGUCAGAGCACUUCCCAGCAGCCCCUAAAUUUAGAGGAGGUACACAGCCUUGUUCCUUACUCUGCAUUCUUUACAACGACAGAAGAACUAGAGCUCAGUCCAUACUAAUCAUUCUGAUUUGUUCGCACAUCUGGACAUGCAUUAAAUUUGUG